AGAGUUUGAUCAUGGCUCAGAGCGAACGCUGGCGGCAGGCCUAAAACAUGCAAGUCGAACGGAUCCUUCGGGAUUAGUGGCGGACGGGUGAGUAACACGUGGGAACGUGCCUUUUGGUUCGGAACAACUCAGGGAAACUUGAGCUAAUACCGAAUGUGCCCUUCGGGGGAAAGAUUUAUCGCCAUUAGAGCGGCCCGCGUCUGAUUAGCUUGUUGGUGAGGUAAAAGGCUCACCAAGGCGACGAUCAGUAGCUGGUCUGAGAGGAUGAUCAGCCACACUGGGACUGAGACACGGCCCAGACUCCUACGGGAGGCAGCAGUUAGGAAUCUUGCGCAAUGGGGGAAACCCUGACGCAGCCAUGCCGCGUGAAUGAUUAAGGUCUUAGGAUUGUAAAAUUCUUUCAGCGGGGACGAUAAUGACGGUACCCGCAGAAGAAGCCCCGGCUAACUUCGUG
rnacentral:rRNA from 1 species